CAACGGCGAAAGCACUCUGCUGGGCCGACACUGACACUGAGAGACGAAAGCUAGGGGAGCAAAUGGGAUUAGAGACCCCAGUAGUCCUAGCCGUAAACGAUGGAUACUAGGUGCUGUGCGACUCGACCCGUGCAGUGCUGUAGCUAACGCGUUAAGUAUCCCGCCUGGGGAGUACGUUCGCAAGAAUGAAACUCAAAGGAAUUGACGAGGGCC
rnacentral:ncRNA from 1 species